rnacentral:rRNA from 1 species
UGGGGAAUUUUGGACAAUGGGGGAAACCCUGAUCCACCCAUCCCGCGUGUGCGAUGAAGGCCUUCGGGUUGUAAAGCACUCUUGGCAGGAAAGAAACGUCAUGGGUUAAUACCCUGUGAAACUGACGGUACCUGCAGAAUAAGCACCGGCUAACUACGUGCCAGCAGCCGCGGCAAUACGCAGGGUGCAAGCGUUAAUCGGAAUUACUGGGCGUAAAGCGUGCGCAGGCGGUUCGGAAAGAAAGAUGUGAAAUCCCAGAGCUCAACUUUGGAACUGCAUUUUUAACUACCGGGCUAGAGUGUGUCAGGGGGAGGUGGAAUUCGGCGUGUAGCAGUGAAAUGCGUAGAUAUGCGGAGGAACACCGAUGGCGAAGGCGGCCUCCUGGGAUAACACUGACGCUCAUGCACGAAAGCGUGGGGAGCAAACAGG